UUUUUCACCAACACACUUCAGGGCAUCAUGUGUUUAGUGAUCGGAGGCCUUAGAAGGUGAAUCAUUCAGAAAUGGAGUCUUACAGAUGCGGAUUAAAUGCUGGUAAAGGGUUCGAAAAAAAAGAGAACAGCUGGAAUCCUCCUGGCUGAGGACAGGGUGUAAUGUGAGCUGGGACCGGACUUACUGUUGCAUUACUGGAACUCACAACAGCCUUAAACAUUCAGACAAGUGGAGGUCAGCUUCUUGCCAAUAGAAGCUUUUAUUUUUUUGUUUCAUCACACAGGAAACUGCCGUGACCGCCGGGUCCAGAGAGGUGAACUGUGGGUAAAACCAUCUAGAUCAAAUAGUGCACAGAGGAGCUGUUUUUAAAGCAUCUAGAUGGACAUCUGUGCUGCGUCCCAUCGGAUGUACACGAGGAAAUUCAGAGUUUGUCCUCUGGAGAGAAGACAACACAUGAACUACUGCACGUAGAGGUUAACCGUGUGAAGAGCCACUACCGAGCCAUAGCAGCCUUUAGAUUGGCCACACUGGUUUACAGUCCUGGCAAGGACACCGUUUGGUGUGAACGUCUUGGUGUGUCUGUGUGUGUGUGUGUGUGCCGGCAUUAUCCAAUCAUUAAAACUCUUGACCUGACCAGCCCGUCCCCUCUCCCAAAGAUAAAAAAUAUAAAAACAUUGAAACAAGAGAUUGGAAAUUUAAAAAAAA